GAUGAACGCUAGCGAUAGGCUUAACACAUGCAAGUCGAGGGGCAGCAUGGUCUUAGCUUGCUAAGACUGAUGGCGACCGGCGCACGGGUGCGUAACGCGUAUGCAACUUGCCUCACAGAGGGGGAUAACCCGUCGAAAGACGGACUAAUACCGCGUACACUCUAUUUUGGGCAUCCAAGGUAGAGGAAAUGAAAUUCGCUGUGAGAUAGGCAUGCGUCCCAUUAGCUAGUUGGUGAGGUAACGGCUCACCAAGGCGACGAUGGGUAGGGGAACUGAGAGGUUGAACCCCCACACUGGUACUGAGACACGGACCAGACUCCUACGGGAGGCAGCAGUGAGGAAUAUUGGUCAAUGGGCGAGAGCCUGAACCGGCCAAGUCGCGUGAAGGAUGACUGUCUUAUGGAUUGUAAACUUCUUUUGUAGGGGAAUAAAGAGGGGCACGUGUGCCCCAGUGAAUGUACCCUACGAAUAAGCAUCGGCUAACUCCGUG
rnacentral:rRNA from 1 species